GGGGGGCAACUCCCUGAGUAAAGCGGCGCACGGGUGAGUAACACGUAGGUAACCUCCCCCCGAGUCCAGGAUAACCUACCGAAAGGUGGGCUAAUACCGGAUAUGACCACGGAAGCUUCGGUUUCCGCGGUGAAAGGUGGCCUCUGCUUGCAGGCUACUGCUCGAGGAUGGGCCUGCGCGCCAUUAGCUAGUUGGUGGGGUAACGGCCCACCAAGGCGAUGAUGGCUAGCUGGUCUGAGAGGAUGGCCAGCCACACUGGGACUGAAACACGGCCCAGACUCCUACGGGAGGCAGCAGUGGGGGAUAUUGCGCAAUGGGCGAAAGCCUGACGCAGCGACGCCGCGUGGGUGAUGAAGGCCUUCGGGUCGUAAAGCCCUGUCGAGGGGAACGAAACGGUCUCGACCUAAUACGUCGGGAUCCUGACGGUACCCCUAAAGGAAGCACCGGCUAACUCCGUGCCAGCAGCCGCGGUAAUACGGAGGGUGCAAGCGUUGUUCGGAAUCACUGGGCGUAAAGGGCGUGUAGGCGGUCCGUUAAGUCUGAUGUGAAAGCCCGGGGCUCACCCCCGGAAGUGCAUUGGAAACUGGCGGACUCGAGUCCCGGAGAGGAGGGUGGAAUUCCUGGUGUAGCGGUGAAAUGCGUAGAUAUCAGGAGGAACACCGGUGGCGAAGGCGGCCCUCUGGACGGUGACUGACGCUAAUACGCGAAAGCGUGGGGAGCAAACAGGAUUAGAUACCCUGGUAGUCCACGCUGUAAACGAUGAGCACUA
rnacentral:rRNA from 1 species